rnacentral:rRNA from 1 species
UACGGAGGGUGCAAGCGUUAUCCGGAUUUACUGGGUUUAAAGGGUGUGUAGGCGGACUUUUAAGUCCGUGGUGAAAUCUCCGGGCUCAACCCGGAAACUGCCAUGGAUACUAUUCGGCUAGAGGUUUGGAGGGGGGACUGGAAUUCUCGGUGUAGCAGUGAAAUGCGUAGAUAUCGAGAGGAACACCAGUGGCGAAGGCGAGUCCCUGGACAACACCUGACACUGAGGCACGAAAGCUAGGGGAGCAAACAGG